rnacentral:lncRNA from 13 species
UUGCUGAAGUAAAUAUAGUACUGUGUCUGGAUCCCUGUCACAGAUCCCCUGAAUCUCAGGCAGGUGUUGCUCUGUGGAAGGGCUGUACUUCUGAGAAAGGGGGCUCUGGCCCUCUGCAUCCUCUGCAGAGGAUUUGUGAGAUGCCUGAAGAUGGGCAGCUAUAUCCUUGUCUGUGUUCUGCUGGGCUUUCAAUCUUUCUUCACGCUGGGCCGUUUUCCAUCUCUCUUGGAUGAGGAGGAGCUGUUUCAUGUGGCUAUCCCUUUGCAAUUCCAGUGAAAGAUGAGCCUGCUCAGAUUGUGUCAGCUUCAUGGCUUCAGAAAGAUAUGCCGCAGCCUUUUUGUAAGAAGAAAUAGCCUCUUCGUAUUUGCCUGCAGCUAAUGAAUGGUCUGCUCAUCAGGGACAUGGAUGAAUCUGGAAACCAUCAUUCUCAGCAAACUGACACAAGAACAGUAAAACAAACACUGCAUGUUCUCACUCACAGGCGGGUGUUCAACAAUCAGAACACAUGGACACAGGGAGGUGAGCAUCACACAUUG